GGGGAUGUAGCUCAAUCGGUUAGAGCGCCGGCCUGUCACGCCGGAGGUUGCGGGUUCGAGUCCCGUCAUCCUCGCCA
rnacentral:tRNA from 1 species